rnacentral:rRNA from 1 species
CCUACGGGAGGCAGCAGUGGGGGAUAUUGCACAAUGGGGGAAACCCUGAUGCAGCGACGCCGCGUGGGUGAAGAAGCGCCUCGGCGCGUAAAGCCCUGUCAGCAGGGAAGAAAAUGACGGUACCUGAAGAAGAAGCCCCGGCUAACUACGUCCCAGCAGCCGCGGUAAUACGUAGGGGGCACGCGUUAUCCGGAUUUACUGGGUGUAAAGGGGGCGCAGACGGCGGUGCAAGCCAGGAGUGAAAGCCCGGGGCCCAACCCCGGGACUGCUCUGGGAACUGCGUGGCGAGAGUGCAGGAGGGGUAGGGGGAAUUCCUGGUGUAGCGGUGAAAGGCGUAGAUAUCAGGAGGAACACCGGUGGCGAAGGCGGACUGCUGGACUGCAACUGACGUUGAGGCCCGAAAGCGUGGGGAGCAAACAGGAUUAGAUACCCGAGUAGUC